rnacentral:rRNA from 1 species
CCUACGGGUGGCAGCAGUGGGGAAUAUUGGGCAAUGGGCGCAAGCCUGACCCAGCAACGCCGCGUGAAGGAGGAAGGCUUUCGGGUUGUAAACUUCUUUUAAGGGGGAAGAGCAGAAGACGGUACCCCUUGAAUAAGCCACGGCUAACUACGUGCCAGCAGGCGCGGUAAUACGUAGGUGGCAAGCGUUGUCCGGAUUUACUGGGGGUAAAGGGCGUGCAGCAGGAGAGGCAAGUCAGAUGGGAAAUCCACGGGCUCAACCCGCGAACUGCAUUUGAAACUGUUUCCCUUGAGUGUCGGAGAGGUAAUCGGAAUUCCUUGUGUAGCGGUGAAAUGCGUAGAUAUAAGGAAGAACACCAGUGGCGAAGGCGGAUUACUGGACGAUAACUGACGGUGAGGCGCGAAAGCGUGGGGAGCAAACAGGAUUAGAUACCCGAGUAGUC